rnacentral:misc_RNA from 1 species
UCUCCGUAGGUGAACCUGCGGAGGGAUCAUUACAGAUUUCAUGCCCUACCGGGUAGAUCUCCCACCCUAUGUUAUUAUUACUUUGUUGCUUUUUCGGGCCGUUAGGCUCCGGCCCGACUACCGGCCCCGGCUGGUAAGCGCCCGCCAGAGGACCCAAAACCCUGAAUAUUAGUGUCGUCUGAGUACUAUAUAAUAGUUAAAACUUUCAACAACGGAUCUCUUGGUUCUG